UACUUUAAGAUUAAGUAAAAAUUCAAGGUUAUAGUUAAAUAGGUAAUUAAUAAAAUAUAUAAGUAAUAAAGGGUAAAAUCGGAAUAUUAUUUUGUAUAAAAAAAAAUUCUAAUUGAAGCUAAAAAAGUUUAGUAAUAAACUAGGAUUAGAUACCCUAUUAUUCUAAAAUAAAAUAAUCUAGACCAAAUUAGUAAGAGAUAAAUACUUAAAAUUUAAAAAAUUUGGCGGCAAUUUAAUCUUUUCAGAGGAACCUGUUUUGUAAUCGAUAAACCACGAAAAAUCUUACUUGUUCUUGUAAAUAAAACAGUUUGUAUACCAUCAUUAUCAGAUAAUUCUUAGAGGAGAAAUUAUUAAAUUUGGUUGUUUAGUUAAAUUAGAUCAUGGUGCAGUUUAUGGGCAAGGUAAAAUGGGUUACAAUAAAUUACUUUAUGGCGAAUUAAUAAAAUAAUUUUAUUAUGAAGAAGGAUUUGAUUGUAUUCUUAGUUUAAUAAGCUAACGAGAUAUAAGUUCUAAAUUGUGUACAUAUCGCCCGUCGCUUUCAUUUAUAAGUGAAAUAAGUCGUAACAUA
rnacentral:rRNA from 2 species